rnacentral:rRNA from 1 species
UACGUAGGUGGCAAGCGUUGUCCGGAUUUAUUGGGUUUAAAGGGUGCGUAGGCGGUCAUGUAAGUCAGCGGUGAAAUCCGGCAGCUCAACUGUCGAUGUGCCAUUGAUACUGCAUGACUUGAGUACUGAUGAGGUAGGCGGAAUUGACGGUGUAGCGGUGAAAUGCUUAGAUAUCGUCAAAGAACACCGAUAGCGAAGGCAGCUUACUAAGCAGUAACUGACGCUGAUGCACGAAAGUGUGGGGAUCAAACAGG